rnacentral:misc_RNA from 1 species
AGGUGGUUGUGGAACCUUGUUAUCCCUUAGUCGCCUCUUACGACACCCACGGGAAGAGAGGGGGUGGCUAAAUUCUUUAGUGCCGUAGCCACACAGCAUAAUUAUAUCAAACUAAAUAUAUUCUAAUUCUAAGGAAGCUUGGAACUUGCUGCGAACUUUAUAAUAUUUUAUAUUGUAUUUAGUUAAAUAUGUUGAGCUUUUUUAACAACGUUGCUUUUUAGAAGUAGAAUUAAACCGAAUUUAAACCACUUAUUUUUAAGUUAUUAUUUAUUAAUUAUCCUGCUUAGUAUGUUUUACGCCAUUAGCGUUACCUUUUCAUGCGUAUUCCUAAUGAAUAUGAUUUGGUCUGUUCUUAAGUCAAUUUUUUUAUAGGUAUACUUAUGCAAAAAAGCUGGCACGUACAACACAUUCUCAUAUAUCUCAUUUGUAUCUUUAACUAAGCCUUUUUAGGAAAAAUCAAUUCCAUGACAUAGAUAACAUUUUUGAUAAAAAAUACAGCAUGACAUUUUUCAAGCCUGCCUGUCAGUGGGUGGCUUAUCUAUAAUAUAAAAAUGAGUCGCUGAAUGUGUUGCUAAGCGCAAAACUCGAGAACGGUUGGACCGAUUUCGCUAAUUCUUUUUUUAAAAUAUUCCUUGAAGUACGAGGAUGGUUCUUACGGAGAGAAAAAUUCUAAAAAAAAAAAAUAAUAAAAUUAAAGAAUCGACUGUUAGGCGAUACGAAGUACGCCGGGUCAGCUAGUUAAACAUAAAAUACCUACUAUUUCUGCGGUCCUCAAAUUUCUAUUGCAGUUGUAUUCUCAACCGCAUCAAUUUAUUCUUAGCCGCAAGCAGUCUGAUUCGUUUUUCCUUCAUCUAACAUAAAGGUAUGACACAUUUGCGGUGCGUUAUACUAUAUUGAAACUAUUAGUUAAAUAUAUUAUUGUCUAAACAGACAUCAAUAAAACGCAUAUAUGAGAGUAGUAUGAACGUGCCAGCUUCAGAACGAUAAAUAUUUUUUUUUAAAUUUAAAUUAAUGAUAAAAUACUUGAAUAAAAUUUAUCUAUUUACUAUAUUGCAUCUUUAUGUAUAUUCCUACAUAAAAAUUCAAUGAAGUAUUUUAGGCCCUUAAAAAAAACUACUACAACCAAAAUAAAAUCCACCUCAAUUAGUAAGUUAGUUAAGUUAAUUUUAAGGCAAUCGAUGGUCGAGUGACAAAAAUAUAUUAGACGUUAAAAUGUGAAUUGACCCUUCCAGUGUACAUAUAGAGGAUGUGCGUCUUUCACAUUAGUUUUAUAUAAUAUAUAACCAAAUAUGAAUAUAGAAUACAUUAGGAAUUUUUGUUAAUUUUAUAAAAAUGUGGACGAAAAGUGGACUGUAUUAGUUGUAUAUAAAAUGAAGUUAUAAGAGUUAAAUGGGAAAAUGUCGGGUCAUAAAUAGUUUUUAAGUGAAAUAAUUAAGUGUAUGCCAUUCUUGGUUAGAAAGUUUGUUAUUAAGAAUUAUUUUUAUUGAAAAAAUUAUAAAAUAUGGUUAUAUAAAUUAUUGAUUCCAUACAUGAUUAUAAUUACUGACAGAAGAAGAUUUUUUUUAUACAGCUUUGUAUGCCGUCAGAUUUUUUGGAAAUAAUGAUAAACAACGUAGAUUUUAUUAUCGCAGUAUAUUUUUUUUUGCAUAUACUUACAUAAAAAACUUAUUAAAAUUUACAUCUCUCGGUAAUUAUAUAUAUAAUUAUAUCAUAAAUAAAUCCCUUUGAAAUUUCGGUAUGCAAAAUCUAUAAAAACUGGCAAAAAGCAAUCAUCAAAAUUUCAAACAUUAUUCAUAUAUUUUAAAAAGUAUAAACAUAUUUAUUAUCCAGUUUUACCAGUUCAUAAAUAUACAAAUAUGCGAUAACUAUAUUUUUGUAUAUGUAGAUUUAGAAGUAUGAACAUUUGGUAGUAUAGGGGAAGUAUUUUUAGAUACUAGUACUUAAGACCUAGUUUUAUAAGGAUUAUCAUCCCAGAAAAAAUAGUAAAAACAGUAGCUGUACAGAUAGUUAUAAUUGCUUAAGAAUUAACAAAAAAAAAAGACGGUCAACAAAUUAAAAUGGGCUUUAAAAGGUUUAUAUAACAUUUAUUUUCUUUAACUUUUUGAUAUUAACUGAAUAUGUUUAAUAAUAUUAUAUUUAUUUUUUAAUAUAUAUUUUAUAUUUAUAGGCAGGAACAAAUAUUUACGUUACGAUUUUCUGUUAUUUGCAAUGUAAAAUUACUCUUUUUUACUCUUUUUUUUUUAAUUCCGUUGUUUUUAAACCCAUUUCAAUUUGUCAUGAACAUUUGAUGGUUUUGUAAAUUUUUAGUUGGCAACUUAAAAAAAAUUAAACUUACGAUUUUGUUAUUCCUUCUUGUGUUUACUCUGCGAAUAUAGUAUUUAUAUAAAAACGAUCAAUAUUCUUGUGAGUUUACAUAAUAUUGUUAUAAAUAUAUUGCGACGCAUUUGUUAAUAUCUCUACCUUAUGAAAAACAUCCCGCAGGGAUGUAUUCGAGCUCAAAGAUCGUAAAUGUAGCAAAUAGCCUUUUUUGCAAAAUAAAUACAGUCUCAAUGUCUUUAUCAGCUAUCUACAGUAACAGACCGUAAUCUGUCUAUCGGAAUAGGUAAAUAUCGGCGAAAAAGCAACCAUUUGUCAAAUUUUAGAAUCUAUUUAUAUAUUUCUUUUCUAGUUUUAUUCAUCAUAAUUAUAUAUACGUUAGCUGUAUUUUUAUAUGUGUAGAUUUAGAGGUAUAAACAAUUGGUAGUAUAGAGGAAGUAUGUUUAGAUACUAGUACUUAGGACCUAGUUCCAUAAGGGUUAUCAUUGCCAGCAAAUCCAGUAAAAACAGUAGCUGUACAGAUAGUUAUAAUUACUUAAAAUUUAACAAAAAAAAAAAGACGGUCAGCAAAUUAAAAUGGGCCUAAAAAGAUUUAUAUUACGUUAUUCGUUUUAACUUUUUAUUAUUAAAUGUAUUAUUUAUAUAUAGUAUAUUCACAGGCAGAACCAGAUUUUGACUAUUUGUAUGUUGUUUUUCUGUUAAUUUGUAUUGUAAAUUUUUUUUAAUUCCGUUGGUUUAAACCCAUUUAAAUUUGUCACGAACGUCAUCAUUAUGUAAAUAAUUUGCAACACUAAAAAAAAUUGCUUAAAAUUAAUUAAUUUUAUGGAAUUUCUAAAAUUGAAAUUUUAAUACAUUUGGAUUUUUUUUUCUAUAUUGCAUAAUUCGAUGAUAAUUUGUACAUUUGAGAGUCUUACUUACUAAUAAACGAAAAUGAUUGCAAAUUUUAAUUAAUUUUUUAUAUUCUACAAAUUGCUAGUAAAGAAAGAAAAUUGGGGCCUGUUUCACUAGUUUCUAAUAAAAUUAUCUGGCUGAUAGCAAUACACUUAUAAUAUUUGUUAUCUUAUUUACCAUCAAAUUCUACUUUAUCUCUAAUUAAGUUUGAAACCUGAAAAACCAAAAGUUUUCGGUUGUUGGAUAAACUAAAACAUAGCCUAACGACAUAUUUUGCUUCUUGUUGAUAAGACUUAUCAGUAACUAAUUACUUAACUUCUACACCUUUUACUAACCAUAUUUAAGUAUGAGACGUUUUUGAGCAACCAGUGAAAUAGCCCCUUAGUUUAAUAAAUUUAGCCGCAGAGGUAUAGGAGUCUGUACAUUUAUCGAACUUCGCAGAUUAACCAGGGCGGAUAUUUAGAAGUAAACAGUGUUAGGAGUUUCUUAAGUAUAUCAUUAAUUAAUGUGCUAAUAAUAAUAAAAUGAAAUAUAUUGUUAGCUUAAGAGCCAUAUCGUAAAUAAGAUUAUUAAGUUUCAUGAAAUGAAUUAUUCUUUAUUUACAAAAAAACUAAAUUAUCAAAUCUUUUAAUUACUUUUCGGUUUUAUUGUUGCGUGGAUAUUUGUUAAUAAGAAAUGUAAAAAAAUUAAACUUUAUUAAAAAAAAAAUAAUUGACAAUAAGAUAUGUCAAAAAUCUUGUAAGUGAUGAUUGUUUGAAUAAGUUGGUUUUGGACUAACCUGGUGUAUGAAGUCUGAAGUAGUAAUUUUUCUUAAUAGUAUAACAUACAUUUUUCGUUAUCGUUAUUAUAAUUUUAGUUAUGAUAUUUUUUCUUUAAUAUCAAACGCAGGAAAAUUAUUGGAAGCUUUUAAAGUUAUUUUUUAUUUAUAUUAUUAGUUAAGGGUUGGAUAUCUUUUGAUUGUCAAAUUUUAAAUAAUAGAUGUUGAUAAAUAAAUUUCAUUCCGUAAUGACUGUAAUAAUAUCGAUUUACUUGUUUGUAACAUGUUAAAAUAUACUCCUGUCAAGUUAGCUAUUUUUAGCAUUGUGUUUCUACAUAUACAACCUGUUUUUACAUAAACGACUAUUUUGAAGCCGAAUAUAGACAAGUUUUAUAUUGUAGUAUAUAAACACAUACAUAAUAAUUAUGACCAAUAAAGUAAUUAACUACUGUAUUAAAACAUACAGUGCUGACUCGUAAAAAUUAGUUUCAACUUCUGACUAAAGUUAUUAUUAUCGUAUAAUUAGCCAGAGUGGUUUAUAUUUCAAUAUAGAAUAGUCUAUACUCGACAUGACCAAUGACAUGAAAAUGCUAAAAGUAGCUAUUAUAUUACAGAUGAGUUUACCUUUUAUCCUUAUCUGUUUCAACCCCAUUAUUGUAAUUGUUUGUUCAUAAUUACAUUAAGUUAAUUUUUAACUUAGUUUUAAGUAAAUAAUGUAUACUAUAUAUUUUGCGUAUUUUUGUUGUUUAUAUAACAAAGAAUUGAGUUCAUAUCAGUUACGAUGUAUGGUGAUGAAAUAUUAAUUUAAGUUUUAAGCGGUGCCAUUUUUAAAAUGCUUCGUUUUUUAUUAUUUGUUAACAUAAUUAUGUUUGGAUUGAAAAUAAAAUUUUGCUUUUCGAUUUCAUUCUUUUAUUUAAUACCUGCAAUGUGCAUAUCAUUUUGAGAUCGUUGACUAAAAUCACCUUUAUAUGUAUUUAAAAAAAUAUAUGAAGCUAUGAUAGAAUUAAAGUUGACCCUUUUCCGAUCACUUAGCACUCCAAGCCUAUUUACAACUUCAGUAGAUACAGUGGUUUCCACGAACCUUUUCAUAUACUUUUUCCUUAGGAUUAAUGGAUAAACUCGGAUUAAUUCGAUAAGUCUUUUU